rnacentral:misc_RNA from 1 species
AAGUCGUAACAAGGUUUCCGUAGGUGAACCUGCGGAAGGAUCAUUCUUGUAUGUAGCUUACGCUACCACUUAUUAUGUGCACUGUUACUCGCCAUUUGGCAGCCGAAAGGCUGUCGUUUGGCAUACUUUUUAUAUACCACCGUAAUAACUUUAUACCGUCAAACUUAUGUUGAGAAAACUUUUAGCAAUGGAUCUCUAGGCUCUC